rnacentral:rRNA from 1 species
GAUGAACGCUGACAGAAUGCUUAACACAUCAGCAAUUGACUGGUGGCGGACGGGUGAGUAACGCGUAAAGAACUUACCUCACAGUUAGGGACAACAUUUGGAAACGAAUGCUAAUACAUAAUACUGUGAGAGAGCUUUGCGUACCAUUAGCUAGUUGGAGAGGUAACGGCUCACCAAGGCGAUGAUGGGUAGCCGGCCUGAGAGGGUGAUCGGCCACAAGGGGACUGAGACACGGACCUUGCUCAGACGGGAGGCAGCAGUGGGGAAUAAUGGACAAUGGACCAAAGUCUGAACCAGCAAUUCUGUGUGCACGAAGAAGUUAUCGGAAUGAAAAGUGCUUUCAUUUGGGAAGCGGUACCAACAGAAGAAGUGACGGCUAAAUACGUGCCAGCAGCCGCGGUAAUAC